ensembl:scaRNA
UUUCUGCAGCCUUGUGAUCUUGCCCCUCGCACAUGUCUGUUGCUUGUGGACACGACAGGGUUGCAAAAAGCAAUUCAAAGAGUGAAAAGGCGUGACGUCCGGAGGCUCGGAAGCGUCGCGUGCGAUGUUCUUUGGACAAAGCUCCUGCUUGCCACGGCGGUGAUGGGCUGUCUGUGGACAUCACCUUUCUUGGGGCAGGGAGAGAAAAACGGCCGGAUAUUGUCUGAACCAGGGAAAGCAAUUCCUGUUGGACACUGCUGGCUGUCACAAAA